rnacentral:rRNA from 1 species
UACGAAGGGUGCAAGCGUUACUCGGAAUUACUGGGCGUAAAGCGUGCGUAGGUGGUUUGUUAAGUCUGUUGUGAAAGCCCCGGGCUCAACCUGGGAAUGGCAAUGGAUACUGGCAAGCUAGAGUGCGGUAGAGGGUAGUGGAAUUCCCGGUGUAGCGGUGAAAUGCGUAGAGAUCGGGAGGAACACCAGUGGCGAAAGGCGGCUUCCUGGCCGUGUUCUUGACGCUGGAGGCGCGAAAGCUAGGGGAGCAAACGGG